CCCGCACAAGCGGUGGAGCAUGUGGUUUAAUUCGAUGCAACGCGAAAAACCUUACUCACCUUUGACAUGUACGGAACCCUUUAGAGAUAGAGGGGUGCUCGAAAGAGAGCCGUAACACAGGUGCUGCAUGGCUGUCGUCAGCUCGUGUCGUGAGAUGUUGGGUUAAGUCCCGCAACGAGCGCAACCCUUGUCAUUAGUUGCUACAUUCAGUUGGGCACUCUAAUGAGACUGCCGGUGACAAGCCGGAGGAAGGUGGGGAUGACGUCAAGUCCUCAUGGCCCUUAUAGGUGGGGCUACACACGUCAUACAAUGGCUGGUACAAAGGGUUGCCAACCCGCGAGGGGGAGCCAAUCCCAUAAAGCCAGUCGUAGUCCGGAUCGUAGUCUGCAACUCGACUACGUGAAGUCGGAAUCGCUAGUAAUCGUGGAUCAGAAUGUCACGGUGAAUACGUUCCCGGGUCUU
rnacentral:rRNA from 1 species